rnacentral:lncRNA from 10 species
CCAGAGACAGGAGUCAUGAGAGUCACCCUAAGGGCUAUCUGCCAUGGACCUCAACCCCAGAAAGUACUCAGGGCCCAGUCAGAAAAACAGCAACCACACUAGGUAUUUAACAGGAAAUGUUUAAUAUAGGAAAUUAAAUAGUUAUUGGUGGACUAAAAAAAAGCAAAACAAGACAAUAGUGAUAUAACAACGAAAAAAGGGCAGGAAACAAUCUCUCCCUCCCACCCCACUGGCUAGGGCAAUAAAGGGUUAAUGAAGUCAGGGUUAUCAGGACCUCCAUACUUGGAGAAAAGUCCUUAGCCACUGAGUUAAGUCCCCCUCUGACUGAUUCUGUUUAUCACGGAGGGGCCCUGCAGAGCUCAGAUCUCUGUAGAGUGGGUGCUGCCUCACUCACACGGUCCUUCUGAGGAGGUGUCAUGAGGCUUGUUUUGAGGGCGCUAAAAGAAGCUGGUGACUGGGACAACCUGCUGCUAGGAUGAAGGACCAUUCCUGGGCCUAUUGCCAGGAGUAGCCAGCUGAUAGGAAGGACAGUUCUUCCUUCUCUUGCCUUCCAGUCUCUCUCCAACAUCCCUGUCAGCAGAACCUGACAGCGAGCAAGCUGGCAAUGGAGAAAUAUGCUUACCAGAGUCCUGGAUCCAGCAUCACAAAACAAGUGCAAAAGGGUAGAUUUAGAUCCUAGAGACAAUAGCUUAAUAACCAGCAUUUAGUAACCACCUUCCUUAGACAAGGCUGCUGAAACUUAGGUCCAGCGGAAAACCCUGGACUUCACUUUCUGGUCUAACACUGGUCAUGCUUGGAUUUUAGGGAAUCAAUGAAUAAGACCUUUUUUCUUUCUGGCCUGGUUCUGAAUCAAAGUUCUUGAUAAAGAGAAUUAGAGGGAACUUAACUCGGUGGUUAAAGACUUUUCUCCAAGUUCAUAGGUCCUGAUAACCGUGAUCUCAUCUCCUUAUUAUCAGUAGUCAAGAAGAUGGUAAUAAAACUAUCAGCUUUAUUACUAACAGAAUCUGAUGUCAGGCAUGCACCCACAUGUGCUUGCCUUGCUAACAGCCCCUGAUGUAAACUUAUUGCCAAAGUGCAGGCCUCCCCUGUGGGUUCUGGGUGGAAGCAUCCAGGCCCCUGAGAUCAGAUAAGUAUGCACCUCCCAGGUGGCCAGCAGAUUCUAAGGAGAGACAAAGGCACAUCUGAAUGAAGCCCACCCUUGGGGAGGAGUGCCUAGAACUGAGAGAGUUUGGUGGGGGUAGGGGGUUUCCCUGGUGGAGGUUCUUCCAUUAGGGAGUGUGAGGAGUGGGGAAUGAGUUUUCUCAAAUUGGUAUACUUGAAAACAUAUUUGAUUGCAACCUGGCUCUGGUUAGAAAUGUUAUAAGAACAGAUUUUUAAAAAAUUAGAGGUACUUUUAAAAAAGUGAUAAAAUACACAUAACAGAAUUUACCAUUUACAAUGUACAUUUUUAAGUGUACAUUUCAGUGGCAUUGAGUACAUUCACAUAGUUGUGCAACCAUCACCACUGUCCAUCUCCAGAACUCUUUUUAUCUUGCCCUUUAAACUCUGUACCCAUCAAAAAAUUGGUCCCCAGUGACCCCUUGCCCAGCUCCUGGCAACCUUAACCUACUUUCUGUCUUUGUGAAAUUGACUAGUCAAGGUACGUCAUAUAAAUGGAGUGAUACAAUAUUUAUCCUUUUGUGUCUGGCUUUUUUGCUUAGCAUUAGGUCCUCAAGGUCCAUCCGUGUUGAAGCAUUUAUCAGAAUUUCCUUCCCUUUUAAGGCUGAAUAAUAUUCAAUUGUAUGUAUAUACCACAUCCUGUUUAUCCAUCUGUCGAAGGACACUGGGUUGUGUCUACCUUUUGGCUAUUUUGAAUAAUGCUGCUAUGAACAUGGGUGUACAAAUAUCUGUCUGUGUCCCUGAUUUCAAUUCUCUCGGGUAUAUACUCAAUAAUGAAAUUGCUGGAUCUUAUGGUAAUUCUAUUUUUAAUUAGAAACACAGUUUUUAGUGGACAUUGUGAGGAACAUCAAGAGGUAGAGGCCGAGAACCUGUGAAAUGCACAUCACGCAGCCUAGAGGCCUCUUAGGUAGAAAUUGCACACUUGUCCCUGAGGGCAGCAGCUGUUCUUCUGCCUCUGCUGCAUCUUCACGCCUACAAAGUGGAGAAUGGGCUGAACCCGCAUCUCCUUUACUUUCAGGCACUGGGUGGAGAGCUCCACUCUCAAGAAUAAUGGCAGUGGCCAAAGUCCCUUUCAGUCCCCCUAGACCCGGGCUCGUGGCUGAGAUACCUGAGUAAGAUUCUGGAGCCCUUGAAGCUUGCCUAGCUUUGUUAUUGUUGCCAUCCUUUGUCAUCAGUAUCACUGCAGUGAUUGGCAGUGGAGCCUUUCAUAAGGAAGCAGACCAUGUGUGUGGUCUUUAGGGACUAUCAGGAGAAGGGAGUUGGGAGGUUUCUUCUGGUUUAGGGCCACUCUUGGACAGAAAGUGAAUGGGCAGGGCCAGAGAAGGAAAGAAAGCAAGCUCAGUUCCUGAUGGCUCCUGAGGCUCAACAGCUAUAAAUCCUGUGCACGGUCACCAGACAGAGUUAAAUUUCCUGUUCCAAAGAGGCACCCAAAUGAUAGAAGUUCAAGCACCAUGGCAAACUGUUGGAUAAACAUUUUGGAGCAGAUGGUAGGGAUUAAAGGAAUAGCCACCUCAUGGAGUGUACGUACAGGUGCCCACUGAGGCACUGUGUGGGGGUGUGGUGCUCUGAACUUAUUGGACAUUUAAAAGAGAAAGGAGCGAUUACUUCCUUCUGUCCUGGUGCAGGGGCCUGUGUUGUCUCUGAGGCCAACUGAAUUCCCUCUCUUGGUUUAGUUGUACCUGUCAGUCCAGAAUUAACGGUGUGCUCGGGGAUGUUCCUCAGUCAGCAUUGUAGAAAUUCAGAGCCCAAGGAGCAGAUGAGUACCGGGGUGACUGUAAAGAAGUCAGUGUAUGACAUCACUUUCCCUAAAUGUGUAGGGCUUGCUUCUAGACUGUUCUAUUCAGUAACGGGUCAGAGACUCAAAAGAGCACUGUCUGAAAGAAAUAUAAUGUGAGCAACAUAUAGAAUUUUAAAGUUUCUAGUAGCUACACUAAAAAAAGGUGAAAUUUAAUUUUAAUAUAUUUUAUUUAAUUGGAUGUGUUAAAAAUGUUAUUUCAACAAAUAAUUAAUAUUAAGAUUACUGAGCUAUUUUACAUUCUUUGUUUUGUACUCAGUAUCUGAAUUUUGGUGUGUUAUUUUACACAUACAGCAUACCUCAAUUCGGAAAAUCCACACCUGUGUCGAAUGGUCACAUGUGGCUUGUGGCUACCAUAUUGGACAGUGCAGCUCUAAGACAUCCAAGGGUAUAAUAGCAAGCAUUUAUUGAACGAUUACUAUUACAUGUAUUGAAUCAAGCAACACUCCAAGGCAGCUGCUAUUUACUGAAGAAUACAAGUGUAUUCUUUGGUUUGUGGCCCUUUCCUCUGUCUUUAGGAAGCCAAUAGCAUAGCGUCUUCUGUCUCCAACUCUGCUUUCCUCUCUGCUUCUGUCAUCAGGGGGCUGCAUCCUGCUUUUCUCUUAGAAGGACUCUUGUGAUUACAUCAAGCCUACUCUGAUAAUCCAGGAUAAUCUCCCAAUCUCAAGAGCCUUAAUUUAAUCACAUCUACAAAGUCUCUUUUGCCAUAUAAUAAAACAUGGACAGGUUCCAGGGAUUAGAAUGUGGACACCCAACACAACCAAAAUAUAGCAGCAGGAGGCUGGAGGCUUCUUGCACCAGGUUCUCUUGAAGGGAGACCUGAGCACACUCCCUGACAGCACAGAGAUGCCUGCAGCAGCACAGUCUGCUCUAAGGCCAGUCACGGGAGAAUGGAAAGCAGAUGGAAAAGAGGAGCUUGCCUUGUUUGCCAGCACCCCCUGGUCUGGGAAGGCUGUUUCCCCUCUGGCUUGUGAGGUUGCUGCCCUUGCUCCUUUCUUGGUUGGGGCCAGAAGUUGUCCUCCGCUUUUCUUGAGGACAUCACAGGCUUGGCAGAUGCAGGAGUCAGCUCAGGCUGCUGUAACACAUGGCACAGACCAGGUGGCUUAAACAACAGAAGUUAAUUUCCUCAUAUAUCUGGAGGCUGGAAGUCUAAAGUCAAAGGUCAGCAGGGUUGGUUUCUUCUGAGGCCUCCCUCCUUGGCUUGUAGAUGGCUGUCUUCUCCUUGUGUCUCCGCACAGUCUUCCCUCUAUGUGCAUCUGUGUCCUGGUUUCCUUUUCUUAUAAGGACACCAAUCAGAAUGGAUUAGGGCCCACCCUAAUGGCCUUAUUUUAAAUUGAUUACUCUUUAAAAUACCCUGUCUCCAAAUACAAUCACAUUCCGAGAUACGGGGGUCAGGGCUGCAGCAUAGGAGUUUUGGGGGCCACAAUUCAGCCCAUCACAGAAGGUAAGAGAUAUGCUGCCUCCACUGCCCUCUCACACAUCAAGAGCCCUGGUCCCUUAGUGUAUGCAGGCUUCUCCUUCCUGUGAGUUCUGCUUCUGCGUGUGACGCAAAGAAAGUCAGGUGGGUCCAAGAGAUGCCAACAUGCAGAGAGUGAUGGAAGAGAGCAGGGAAAGCAUUAGAGAGUGAACAGUAGUAAGGCUGGUGGAGGGCGUCGGGGGAUGUGGCAGAGGGGAAGAGGCUGGGAAGAGGGGUCUCAGGAGGAUGGGCACCAAGCCAGAUGAGAAGGCGAGUCCCCCUGACAGGAGCAGGUCCAAGUGCACAGCCCACCGUGGGGAGGUGCCUGCAGCCCAGAAGUCCCUCUUGGGAGUGUGUUCAGAAUCAUUGUUCUGUUGGCUGGAGAGGGAUGAACCCUCCACAGCAGAAGAAAAGGAAAAGGAUGGAAGACACACGUUGCUGAUUGGCCUUAAACUUCCUUUGCCUUGGUUUUGCUCAGAGCAUCCCAAUCUUCUCCCCGACCCUAAUUUUCCUCUAACUCCCCACGCCGAUUCUGUGCUCCAUCCAGACCUCACCACCCAAAGUUUCCUAAAACGUCCUGUGAUUUUCAAUCUCUGAGCCAGUUCCUUCAUGUACAGUUUAUUAAUUUAUGGCUGCCUCCAAAUCCCUUCUCAAUGCUAUUGGUGAGACCUCCAACAGGAUGGGCUAUCUCCCUUCUUUAAACUCUCACAGCAACCUGACACUUCGCUUUGUGUCUCCAUACGUGUUUUGUCCUGCAUGGCUAGACUGUCUGGGGACAGAACUGUUUUAUGCAACUCUAUGUCUUCAGUUUUACUUACAUAUAGUAGAAUUAAAUACAUCUUUGUUGAGUUGAAUUAAAGUGAAAAAAAAAAAAAAGAUUGCCUUACGUUAUUUUCUCUAGGUAAUUCAUGGUAAAGAGUCUCAUGAAGAUCUCUUCCAGUCAAGAAAAUAUUUUUUUUGUCUACCGUACCUUGACUUUUAACUAUUGCCUUUUGAAGCUCAGAUUGAUUUAAAGCACUUGGCUUAAAUGCUAAAGCUUGCACAUUUGCCAACAUGAGCUCAUAGUUUCAUCUAAGCCUGCUUACCCAAGGAGAUUUACAUUUUUUCUGAACAUUUAUAAACAUCUUAGACCAGUUUCUAAACAGAGAUAUGAUGUGAUUUCUUCUUAUUUUCCUACCAGUGUUUGCAUAUUAAAAGAACUUGGGGAACAUAGUGGCAACCAAAAAGACAUCAGCGGAAUUUCAUGUGUGUUGGGGUGGUGUCCUAGAGAGAGGUGAUUAAGAAGGGCUUUCCCAAAACAACUCAAACCGUACCACCUAGGUAGCCUUAUGCUGCUCCUGCUUUGUAACCAUUAUUACAACCUUUCCUUACCUCCACCACUUUUGCAGGGUUUUCUGCUCAUGCUAAGUGAUCCACACAUUCAGAAAAUUGAACAUUACCAAAUAGAAGUUAAAAUGAAACAAUGCCAACAGCAUUGACGAGACACAUUUAAUAACAUACAAAGCUAAUUUAGUGCCUCAUAAAGAAUAAGGAUAAAUGGAUCCCUAU